CUCUGCUUUUGUUCCCUGGGGCUGGCAGGUCCGUGUGGGGCCUGGGCGCGCGGGAGAUGCCGAGGAGCUGGGUAUCCCGGACAGGGGAUGCUCACUCCCAGCAGCUCCGCCCGCAGCAGCGGCGGCAGUGGCGGCAGCGGCAGCAGCAGCAGCAGCAGCGGCAGAGAUAGUGCCGGCUCUCUGCAGGCCACAUCUUUCAUACCUUAUACAUCACUACCGCAUUCCCCCGAAUAGGGGAGCCCCAUAGCAUUUCGCCACCUAGCGCAGAAUGCAGGCGCCCACAGCAGCGGUGGAGGGGACCUAGCCGGGACGCGAGCACCGCGAGAGGAGAAGGACCUCAGCACCCGCUCGCAGGCUCUCUCCCCGCUCCAAUCAUCGCGAGGCCUGCAACUUGUAGCAGCCAUUCUGCAGUCCUGACCUAGGAUUGUCUGUUCCCCAGGGAGGUCUGGACUUCAGGCCAAGCAACACAGUUUAUUAGGGGGAGCCCUCUCCCAGUUACCACUCGGGUCUUGGCCAGCACAUGCGUCCUCUUCGCUGGAGUCUCCGCACACGAGGCUUUGCAGCAGCAGACACACACCCUCUUGCAUGUGCGUAAGCCCGCGAGACACAUUUCUGCGCUCCCCACCAACCAGUGUGUGCGUCCAGGAGCAGGUAGGCAAGGGUUCCUGUCACGGUUGUGUGACCUUAAGCAAACUGCCAAAUAAUGGAGCCUCCGAUUCUUCAUCGGCACACUGGGAAUCAGAUGGUCUGUCUCACAGGAUUGCUGUGAGAAGCCAGUGAGAUAAGCACAGAGCUUGACACCGGUCAUGCGAUGGCAAAUGAUGGAGCUUUUCUUCUUCAGCCAGUGCAGGUCUGCCCUUCCUGGGACAGUAAGAUAUCAGCCACAAUUCACUCACUCAGUUGUGUCCUAAGUGAGCAACCCACUGACAUUCAGCCUCCAGUGACUGCGAUGAAACCCGGGAGAGACUCCUUCAAGUCUACUCACAGGUCUGGUCUACGGAGCUGUCCAAGAAGUGGGCCAUCCUGGGGGAUUGUGACCCAGGCCCAAAGCCGUGUUCCUGCCCUCUGAGGUGUGUUCGGACACAUCAAAUGACCAAACCUGAGACCUCCAUAGACUAGCUCCCAUAGUUUACAGGUGAGAAAACGGAGGAGCAGAGAGGGAAAGUAAGUAGGCUACGUCUAAAGACCGCAUUAGUAUGAGAGCUGGGUCACGGCCCAGGGUUUCUCACUCCCUCAUCCACCUUGUCACUGCUCCCAGCAUCCAUUUGAUUAAUGGCCUCAGGCUCUUAUUCCUCCCCA
rnacentral:lncRNA from 1 species